rnacentral:lncRNA from 1 species
UUGUGAUAACUAUAAAUAUGGGGGUCUUAAUCCGAAUUGGAGGACUUUCUGGCUUCCUGGGAGAUAGUGCUACGAUUGAAGAAACCCCUGAAGACCUGAAGAACCCUAACCUUUGAUCUUUAAAGUUUGGAAGCGAAUUAGGUUAUAUUUUCCACUUAAUCUUAGGAUUGAAUUAUGUUUAGCUUAAUCAAAUUUGUUCUUGAGCUUGUUUUCUUUGUAAUCAUGAGCUAAAAUUCGGAUGGUUUCUGUUUAGGAAGAACUGCAUUACUCCUAUGGUUUAAUUACUACUUUUGUUAAUUGUUUGUUGGUGAUUUUAUUAAAUUAAGUUUGUUAAAGAACCUUAUGCAUUAACCAUAACUAUUUUCUGAUAAUUGGAAGACAAUUAAGCUGCAUGAACAUCUCUUAGUUGUUAACCUCAUAUGUUUAUGUGACCACUUUAUCUUAUGUCUAGGAAUAAUGAACAUGAAACUAGAAUUAAUAAGAGAAUGGGUAAAUUAAUGUGUAAGCUUGUUUGAGAAACCAACAAACAAGAGUUAAUUGAANCACUUGAUUAACCAAUUACAAAUCUUAUUUAAUCCAAAUAAUUGAACUAGGGAAUUAAUUAGUUUAAACAAUUGGCCACUGCUUGAAUUGAUUAAUUGUCUAAGGGUUAGUAUUAGUGAACACGAAUCUAACCAAUAUAGUUGGUAACCAAAUACAAUUAAUUUAUUACAUUAUUAUACAAAUAACCAUAUGAGUGAAUUGGUUGGACCUAAACAGAAACUCUUUAUCAAAUUUGGUGAAUUUUUACUUGUUUUAUUUUUUAGUUAAUCACUUGUUAGGUGGUGUGUUUAAGUUUCUAGUCUUGUAAAACUAGAGAAAAAACCUUUACUUUUAUUACUUGCUUAGUUAAAAUUAGUUGUUAGUUUAAUUUCCGUUCUCUAAGUUCGACACUCUACUUAUCCAACUAUACCACUAAAAGACAGGUUCACUGCCUUUGUGUGCUAAAUUUAUAAUUUAAAAGUAGGAUUAAAACUAGUGCAUUUUACACACAUCAACUUUUUGGCGCCGUUGCCGGGGAACGGUUAAAAAAAUUAAAUCUAAUUCCUAAUUUUAUCGAUCAUUUGUGUGAGUUUGCUUGCACAAACUUAAUUUUUUUUAGUCAUUCAGUAAGUAGGUUAGGUUUUAGAAUCCAUUAGUAUUUUUCUAAAUUUUUACCUUUAAUUUUUUUUUUUUUUUUUUUUUUUUUUUUUUUUUUUUUUUUAAACACGCUACUCACCGAGUGCACUCGCACCUACUCGGCGAGUAGCCUGCUGUAUGAAAGUUAUUUUUUUUCAUUAUUUAGGUUGCAUUUUUUUCUUUUUAUGUGUUUUUCUGGUUUUAUUUCAGGACUUACAUGACUAGAGGAACCAACACUCCGCUGGUACCCCCACUUGAAGACCCGAAAUCCGCAUUGAGAAAGAACAAACGAAAGGACGUGGAAAGCUCACAUACACCUAAGAAGUCACCUUUGUCUAACUUGAAGACUGUUUUUUUGGAAAAAGAAGAGCAGUAAAUCAGGAGCUUCCAACGCAUCUUUAGCAGGCGAAGACCCGAUCAAAGAAGACACCGAGUACGACAUCGAGGAAGAAGAAGAACCUACAUUCGGGCACGACUACGAUUUCGGCGACGAGUUAGCACUUACCAUGGCUAACAUUGAUGAAAACCCCAUGGAAGAAUGGAAGAAGAGCAUCCGCGAUGAAACUGGCCCGGGACAUGUGCAACCCACAAUUCCCGCUACUACUACUUUUGAGCUUAAGGGUCACAUUCUUGCUUUACUCAAGGAGACCCCCUUCACCGGCAAAGACCAUGAAGAUGCUUACAAGAACUUGGAUGAAGUCAAUGAUGUGGCUAAUUAUUUCAAUGUUCCAAAUGUGCCUCGGGAAACUCAGCUACUUCGCAUGCUUCUGGUUACUUUGAAGGGUGCUGCAAAGGAUUGGCUCAACUCAUUGCCCCCCGGAUCGAUCACUACAUGGGCCCAAAUGAAAGAAGAAUUCAUUGAUCAAUUCUGCCCACCAUCCAAGAUAUCCAAGCUCAAGAAAGCCAUUGCUAACUUUUAACAACAAGCAGGAGAGUCACUAUAUGAAGCUUGGGAGAGGUACAAGAGCUUGCUAAGGAAUUGCCCACAUCAUGACCUCAAUAGCCAAUAAGAAGUCUCCAUCUUUUAUGAUGAAUUAAAUAUUACCACUAGGCAAUUACUUGACUCGCAAGGUCCACUCACGAAGAAGGCACCUCCAGUAAUAAAGAAAUUGAAUGAAGAAUUCUCUAAGCAUUCUAAAGAAUACCAUAAUCCAAGAAAUGAUGUGACUAGGGGGGCCGCCAAUGCAGCUUCAGAAGACUUGUCAGCAGUCAUGGCUAUGCUCAAAACCAUGGAUAGGAGGAUGGAUAAAACGGAUCAAACGAUACAUGCUAUUCGGGUGGGUUGUGAGAAUUGCAAUGGGCCUCACCUUACUAGAGACUGCGACUUGGAUGAGAAUGGCAACAAAAAGGUGCAAGUUUGUUACUCAAGUGGGGACCGAUAUGAUGAAGAUUGGCGCAACCCAAAUAAGGAGUGGCUCCCUUAUGACGAGCACAAGAAGGCUAAGGAGGAGAAGUUCAAGCAAAAGGGAAGAGGUUUUUACCAAAAGGAGGAGCCGGCACAAGAAAGAAAACCAAGUUUGCAAGAGAUGCUUACCAAGUUUGUGGCUGCUUUAGAAAAGAGACAUAAUGAUCAUGAUGUUGCAAUCCAAGAAACAAGAACCAUGCUUAGAAACCAGCAAGCCUUUAUCCACAACAUUGAAACACAACUUGGGCAACUUGCUCAACAAAUUAAUCAAAGAUCACCCGGCGAACUCCAUAGUAAAACCGAAAACAACCCACGAGGCGCACACAUAAACAUAGUCACAACAAGAAGUGGGAAGAUAAUUACUCCUCUGCCCCCCAUUCAGAAUGAAGCACCCAAAGACUUGCAAAAGGAGGAUGUAGAAAAACAAAAUCAAAAUAAAAUUAUGCAUGACACAAAAUCUACUCGCAGAGUCCAUAUUAUAGACUCAACGAGUCCACUGCCAGAUUUGAAAGAACAAGUUCCUGAAAAGCGCUUUCAGCCUCCCAUGCCAUACCCAGCCCGAGCUAAGAAAGAAAAGCAGGAAGAGGAGUACCAAAAGUUUCUCGACCACAUUAAAGCCCUUAGAAUCAACAUACCCUUCAUUGAAGCCGUCGCUCAAAUCCCAAAAUAUGCAAAGCUCCUCAAAGAGCUUCUAACCAAUAGAAGGAAGAUGGAGGAGGUGAAAGAAGUAGUUCUUAAUGAAAACUGCUCAGCUGCCAUGUUAAACGACUUACCAAAGAAGAAAGGUGACCCGGGAAGCUUGACUUUGCCUUGCCAAUUUGGCAACUUGGCCACCAUCCAUGCUUUGGCUGAUUCGGGAGCAAGUGUGAACCUCAUGCCCUAUUCAUUCUUCAAGAAAUUGGAUCUCCCGGAACCAAGGCCAGUCCGCAUGGCAAUUCACUUAGCAAAUAAGACAGUCACAUUUCCAAGAGGAAUAUGUGAAGACUUAUUGGUCAAGGUGGACAAGUUUUAUUUCCCGUAGAUUUUAUAAUUCUAGACAUGGAAGCGGAUCCUCAAGUCCCGAUCAUCCAUGGAAGACCUUUCCUCAACACGGCAAGUGCUAUAGUGGACGUGAGAGACUCGAAGCUUACUUUACAGGUAGGAGAAGAUUCGGUAACUUUUGGGGUUGAUCAAGCUAUGAAUCAUGCAAGGAGUAGUGAUGGCAUGGCAUUCUCAAUUGACAUGUUUGACGAAUUGAUGGAGGAGUAUGAUAAUGAAGAUUCCAACAAGUCCACUAUCUUUGAUGAAUAAUUUGAUGGUGAAAAAGACUUACUAGAGAUCGAGAGGCUGCUGGAAGAAGCUGAGUAUGAAGAAAUAAAAAAGCAAUCUGACAGAGAUACUCGGCGAGUAGGGCCGAUAUACUCGCCGAGUCCAUGUGAAGAAAAGAUGGAAAUCGUAAAUUCAACAACGAACUCGCCGAGUCCUUCUCCUGCACUCGGCGAGUAAAACAAGCAUAACCCAAAAACCGAGCUCAAAACGUUACCAGAGCUCUUAGAGUAUGCUUUCCUUGAAGAUGGCCAUCAAAAGCCAGUUAUAAUAGCCUCUGACCUCUCUGAAUCUGAAAAAGAAGAACUAGUUCAAGUAUUGAAGAAGCGAAAACGGGCUAUAGCAUGGAGCAUUACCGACAUCAAGGGAAUAAGUCCCUCUUAUUGUUCACAUAAGAUUAACCUGGAAGAAGGAGCAAAGCCGGUUGUACACACCAAAGAAGAUUAAACCCAAACAUGCAAGAAGUAGUCAAGAAGGAAGUAGUCAAGCUCUUAGAUGCGGGGAUCAUUUACUCUAUUUCCGACAGUCCGUGGGUGAGUCCGGUCCAAGUGGUGCCCAAGAAAGGAGGAAUGACGGUCAUAACCAACGAGAAGAAUGAGCUUAUGCCGACACGAACGGUAAUCGGUUGGAGAGUGUGCAUCGAUUAUCGAAAGCUAAACGAUGCCACUCGUAGAGACCAUUUUCCCUUACCUUUUAUUGAUCAAAUGCUAGAACGAUUAUCGGCCCAUAGUUUCAAUUGUUUCUUGGACGGCUUUUUGGGUUAUUUCCAAAUACCCAUAGACCCCAUGGACCAAGAAAAGACCACUUUUACUUGCCCAAGUGAGACUUUUGCUUAUCGACGCAUGCCCUUUGGGUUAUGCAAUGCACCCGCGACAUUUCAACGGUGCAUGACAGCCAUAUUCCACGACAUGGUGGGAAAAUUCAUGGAAGUAUUUAUGGAUGAUUUUUUUGUUUUUGGAUCUUCCUUGCAUGAUUGUCUCACUAACCUUGAUUUGAUGCUUGCUAGGUGUGAAAAGACUGACUUAGUUCUUAAUUGGGAGAAAUGCCACUUUAUGGUCAAGGAGGGUAUAGUUCUAGGCCACAAGGUUUCCAAAUCGGGAAUUGAAGUGGAUUGGGCAAAGAUUGACACCAUUGCCAAAUUACCUCCACCAACUAAUGUGACGGGCAUUAGAAGUUUUCUUGGACACGCGGGUUUUUACCGGCGUUUUAUAAAAGAUUUUUCUAAAAUAACUAGAUCUCUAACACAAUUGCUUUUAAAAGAUGCACCAUUAAAUUUUACUAAAGAGUGUUUAGAGGCAUUUGAAUUCUUGAAAGAAAAAUUGACUAAUGCCCCGAUCAUUAUUGCCCCGAAUUAGGAGUUACCAUUUGAAAUAAUGUGUGAUGCUAAUGAUUUUGCUUUAGGAGCUGUCCUUGGUCAAAGGAUUGAUAAGCACUUUCAACCCAUUUAAUAUGCAAGUAAAACUCUAAAUCCGGCCCAAGAGAAUUACACCACCACCGAAAAAGAAUUGUUAGCUGUGGUGUAUGCCUUUGAUAAAUUCUGCCCUUAUUUAGUUUUAUCUAAAACAACUGUUUUUACUGGUCACUCUGCUAUCAAGUAUUUCUUUGCCAAGCAGGAUGCCAAGCCAAGAUUGAUACGAUGGGUUCUACUUCUUCAAGAGUUUGACAUCGAGAUACGCGACAAGAAGGGAACGGAGAAUGUAGCAGUCGACCACUUAUCAAUGCUUGAAAACCCGCAAUUGCAAGAAGAUAGAGUUGGAGAUGACUUCCCGGACAAAUACAUUAUGGUGAACACGGGAGAAGAGCCAUGGUUCGCGUACAUAGCUAGCAAGUACAUCCCAAAAGAUCUUACCCGCCAACAAAAGAAGAAAUUCUUUUCUGAAAUAAAAUAUUACUUUUGGAAUGAGCCUUACCUUUUCCGAAGUUGCGCGGAUGGAAUCAUACGAAGAUGUGUGUUCGGACAUGAAAGUCGACAAAUCAUAGAGCAUUGUCAUAGCAGGCCCACCGGUGGACAUCAUGGAGCACACUACACUACUAAAAAGAUCUUUGACAUUGGGUUUUAUUGGCCCAAUGCAGCCCAAUUUGUCAAAGAAUGUGAUGCAUGCCAAAGAACGGGAAACAUUUCAUCCCGAAAUGAAAUGCCACAACAAAGUAUUCAAGUGUGCGAGGUAUUUGAUGUUUGGGGGAUCGAUUUCAUGGGACCAUUUCCCAUGUCAAAAGGCAACAAAUACAUAUUAGUGGCGGUGGAUUAUGUAUCCAAAUGGGCGGAGGCACAAGCAUUACCAACUAAUGAUGCUCGGGUAGUGGUGCGAUUUUUGAAGAAGUUAUUUUCAAGAUUUGGAGUUUCAAUAGCUCUUAUAAGUGACUGGGGAACUCAUUUUGCCAAUGAUCAACUAGAAAAGGUGUUGAGGAGAUAUGGGGUAACUCAUAAAUUCUCUACAUCUUACCAUCCACAAACGAGUGGGCAAACCAAAGUGACUAAUAGAGCCUUGAAGAGAAUCUUGGAGAGAUCGGUGGGGAGCAAUCAGAAAGAGUGGUUGGACAAGCUAGAUGAUGCACUUUGGGCCUUCCGAACAGCUUUCAAAACACUAAUUGUACUACACCAUAUAGGCUAGUUUAUGGAAAGCAAUGUCAUUUACCGGUGGAAAUCGAGCAUAAAGCUUUUUGGGCUUUAAAAAUGUGCAACUUCAACAUAGCGGAGCUCAAGAACAACCGAUUGAUGCAAAUGAAUGCUCUUAAGGAACUUAGAAACGAUGCUUACACUAGUUCUUUAAUCUAUAAAGAGAAAACCAAAAGUUGGCAUGAGAAGAGGAUCAAGGGUAAUAAAGAGUUUCAUGAAGGGAAAAAGGUGUUACUUUUUAAUUCAAGACUGAAACUUUUUCCGGGCAAACUCAAGUCAAGAUGGGAUGGUCCUUUUUUAGUGAAGAAGGUGUUUCCACAUGGUGCUAUAGAGUUAUUAUCAAAAGAUGGUACCCCAUUCAAGGUCAAUGGACAUAAAGUAAAAAGAUAUGAAGGAGUCCCAAGGAAUGAAGACAUAGAAGAAGGGAUGUUGCUGGAGGGAAUGCAGAAACGUANAGGAGUCCAGCUAAUGACUCCUUAAAAAGAAGUGCUUCUGGGAGGCAACCCGAGUUUAGAGUUUGCAUUUCUUUUCCCUUUAUUUUCUUUUUAAUUUCUUAGGUAAUGUUUUAUUUUCAUUCUUCCUCUGAAAACCUGUUUUAAAUGAUUGCUUGAGAGCAAGCAAUGCUUAGAGUGUGGGGGUGGUUUAAAAAUCAAAAAAAAAUGUUUUUUUUCAAUCUGCAAGACUUACUCGCCGAGUUUCCACAUAUACUCGGCGAGUACAUCUUUAUAAACUCAGAAAAUCGCAAAUACGCGGAUCUACUCGGCGAGUAGCACUCUUCUACUCGGUAAGUAGAAAAUUUACACAGGUAGUUUAUAAUCUGUAAAUAAGGGUUUUCACUCAUUCUAAACAUUACCCUCAUACUCGCCGUGCAUAUCUACUCUCAAGCCAUUUCUUCAAUCUUUGUUGAAUUGUCAUCUUUCAAGCAUAAAGGUAAGAUCUUUACUCCCAAUACUUGUUAAAGGUUAAAGCUUUAUCACUUCUUAGCCCUUAUUUUUGUCCAAAACUCGGAUUUGGGGGUUUCGUCAAUUUCUAGGGUUUUGAUUUUACUAUGAAUUAGGAGGUUUUAGACAAAAUUUCUUUUGGAUUAGUGUUUAUUGGACUUAGUACAACAAACCCCUAUGCAAAAUUGGGUGUUAUAAUUAACCCAUAUGGGUCCGAGAAAAAUCAGUCCUGAUGUUCUUCCUACUCGCUGAGUAGUUCUUGAACUCGGCGAGUAGAGGCCUUGACAGAUCUGUGUUGUUUAAUUUUAAUCAUUGGGUGUUGUUUUUUUUACGCUUUCUUAAUGUUAUUUUGCAGGAACCAUGUCCAGAAGAGGCCAAACUUCAUGAGGGGGAAGCCAAGGAGACAUCUCGUGGCUUUCUUUUCGCCAAAUAACUUCUAAAUCCUCACAGAACCAUGCUAAAAACAGAUUGGAAGCUCUAAAGUAGAAGUAGAUCCACCUUCCCAAUGCUAUAAACUAGGAUUGGUUGGGGAAGAUUGGGCUGGAGGAAGAACUAACACCUUACUUGGUAAAGUCGUGCGAUGUGGGGGAUUUUACCAUCAUUUGUGAUGGAUGGCUACAAUUGUUCAAGAUUCAGGAGCCGGUUUUUACGGAGUUGUGCUGGGAAUUCUUCGUUACCAUCUCAUUCCGGGGUGGUAGUGAGUAUUAUAAUUCCAAUGUUAUCUCAUUUUCACUUGGUGGGGAGCUGCGACAGUGCAGCAUGGCGGAGCUAGCAUGGAGAAUUGGCAUCUACAAUCAAAGUGCUAUGUUAAAUGAAGAUUUUGAAACCUUUUUGGAUCAGUGCCAUAAAGACCUCCCUGAAGAGGUUGUUGCUUCCACCUGGUGGAACACCAUUGCCAACCGGGUAUACAUUCCAUCUUCCGCACAGGAAGGCCACAUCCGCUCACCAAUUCAUCGUCUCAUCCACCGCUUCAUUGCUAGCACAAUCAACAUGCGGAAGGACGAUGACAAGGUCCCGACACUUGAUAUCUUUUACCUUUGGAGCAUCAUUACUCCCGAUGUCUUUUGCAACCUUCCUUACUGCUUGGCCAAAUAUCUCUCGGAUGGGGCUGUGAAAGAAAAGGUGACCUCCAAAAUCAAUGGAGGAAUGUUCGUUACUAGGCUCGCGCGAUCAUACGGGAUCUUGGAUUUGCAAUAGGCGAGGGCACUAACCGUCAUUUCUCCCCCUCCUUUCAACACUACUUUAUAUCGGAGGGCACAGAUUGUAGAAAAAUUUGGAGAUUCUUAUGCCAUUCUGCAUGAGGACAAGGCGGUUAUUCCCGAGGAGCCGGGGCGACGGGUGAGGCAAAGGAGCGAGAAGGCCCGAGAAGACCCACUGGUUAUUCCGGUGGAAGAUGAGAAUGCCGGGUGGAACCAAGUUGAAUAUCGAAGAUACUUGGAUGACAUUGGGCGGGGAGUUAACUACAACAACGUGUCAAUCGAAUAUCUUUUGCAACAAAUGAACAUCGCCCCAAGACCCGGUCCCGGUUAUCCCUAUAUAAUGAAUUGGGAUGAAAGAUGCGUAGGUACAAUGAAGAAGGAGGUAGCAGUGCUGGAGGAGCGAACAUGGAUGAGGAAGAUUGAAGAUUUGAUGUUUUGUGUUUUUAUUUGUUUCUAUGGUGUUUGGUUUUGGAUUAUUGUUGAACUUGGAUGGUUGUGUUUUUAGACUUUUAUUUGGUUGCUUUUACUUGUGGUUGCAUUUUUUUUUCAGGAUUGGAAGGUUAGGAUGCAUUUAGAAGUCUUAAGGGUCAAGGUUCAAGUGAGGAAUGUUCAAAAGAGAGUGCGAAGUGUUUCCAUUAAGUUUGAGUCUGUUAGAGUUGGGAGUGAUAGAGUGCAUUAUUACUGAAGUAAUUAGGAGAGUCACUGAAUUACUCCAAUCCAGCACCUCAGUCGAGAAGUAACGAGCAUGACAAUUUUUUUUCUCAACUCAGUGCCUACUCGCCGAGUGCACAUAUCCUACUCGGCGAGUACAUGGGUAAUUACCCGACAUUACUGCAAGUUGGCAAUAUACUCGCCGAGUACACGACUUACUCGCCGAGUCCAUCAUUAUUUUUCGAAUUCCAGAGUUGUUUUGGGCACGUUCGUGGUAGUUUUAUCCAACUUUUUCGUGAAGAGUCAUUCCUGAAGGUUUCUAGGUGCGUUGUCCUACACAUUUUGAGUCAUUUGCAAGUCUACCACACGCGACAUGACACCCAAGACAUGGAAGAGUUGUUCCCAUGUCUAAAGUCAUUCAAAGAUGGAGCUUAGCUGAAGAAAAUCACCUUCGUGACUGAUACCCCAAGGGAGUUUGUUCUAAUUAUCUCUAUAUUUCAUUUUUUUAUUUUCAUGCAUACCAUGCAAUGGGGACAUUGCAUGAAAUAAGUGUGGGGUAGGGGUUUGGUUACAUAUUAGCAAAUUUAGAAUCCUCAUAUCAUAAUUUAGGUCUAUUUUAAAAAAAAAAUUUGCACUAUGGCAUACCAAAAAUGUUACUUAGGAUUUAAUUUAGAAAAUUUUGGUAAAAAGUAAUUAGGAUUCCAUGUUAGAAUUGUGUGGAUGAUUGCAUGAAAACUCAAAUGUUUAGUUGAGCCUAUAUACGUUAUAGUGCAUUUGUGGCCCCCUUAUUCUAGUGAAAUCAUGGGACAAAAACACGACCUCGCUCAGCCCGAAGGAUGCAAUAUGUUUAGCAUCGUGUACUAGAAAUGUAUCCAGGAAAAUUAUUAUCGUUAACCAAUAAAGGUUGAAGUUGAGCUCCCCUGCUUAAGCAUGUAGGGUUUUGAGUGGAAAAACAGAGAGUUACAUGUAAAAAAAAGAGAGAAUUACAAGAAAAGUUUGAAGAAUUUUUGGAGCAUCAAAGUUAAAGUAUGAAGUGAAAGAUCAAAAAUUCUGAAGUAAUUCAAAAAGUUGAAGAUACCAAAAAUCAAACAACAAGGUGGUGAAUUCAAAGAAAUUAAAGAUUAAAGAUCAAAGAAGUGAAGAAUUCCAAUGAGCUCCAAUAUGGUAUCAUAAAUUGUAAUUAUCUAGAUUAUGUAUGUUUGGGUUGCUAAACCAAAAACACCUUGAGGUUAAGAGGUUUUCUGGGAAUGGAUUCGGAGGGAUGCAUAAAAUGAGCAUUGUUCGGGAAAAGUAGGCGAAUGUUUAUGAGGAUUCUGAGUAUUUAGAGUAUGGGGGUUAUUAGGAAAAUUUUAGACACAAAUGGCUGGGUUUGAUUGGAAUAAUGGCUGGGUUCGAUUGGAGUUGUCUUAUGUGAUUCUAAUGUGUUAAAACUCAGUUUUGCUUGGGGACAAGCAAAAGUCAAGUGUGAGGUAUUUUGAUAUUUGCAUAAUUAGCCAUAUGUUUAGCAUAUAUUUUUAUUCAUUUUUUAGCUAAUUAUGUGCAUAAUGUCGACAAAUGGUAUUUAAUAAUUCUUAAAUUAUGUUUUCAGUCUAAAGACAUGCUUGGAAGCAAAAAGGAAUAAGGAGAAGUGAUUAGAGACCAAAGAAUGAAGAAAAAGGAAAAACCACACACAUACUCGGCGAGUCCACGCGUAAACUCGGCGAGUCCAUGAGAAUGCUCCCGAAGAAAAGUCAAAAAUCCUUACUGUACACGGAUUUCACCUGGUACUCGGCGAGUCCACGACCUACUGGCCGAGUAGCCCCUGUUUUGUGAUAACUAUAAAUAUGGGGGUCUUAAUCCAAAUUGGAGGACUUUCUGGCUUCUUGGGAGAUAGGGCUACGAUUGAAUAAACCCCUGAAGACCUGAAGAACCCUAACCUUUGAUCUUUAAAGUUUGGAAGCGAAUUAGGUUAUAUUUUCCACUUAAUCUUAGGAUUGAAUUUUGUUUAGCUUAAUCAAAUUUGUUCUUGAGCUUGUUUUCUUUGUAAUCAUGAGCUAAAAUUCGGAUGGUUUCUAUUUAGGAAGAACCACAUUACUCCUAUGGUUUAAUUACUACUUUUGUUAAUUGUUUGUUGGUGAUUUUAUUAAAUUAAGUUUGUUAAAGAACCUUAUGCAUUAACCACAACUAUUUUCUGUUAAUUGGAAGACAAUUAAGCUGCAUGAACAUCUCUUAGUUGUUAACCUCAUAUGUUUAUGUGACCACUUUAUCAUAUGUCUAGGAAUAAUGAACAUGAAACUAGAAUUAAUA